UGGGGAAUCUUGGACAAUGGGCGCAAGCCUGAUCCAGCCAUGCCGCGUGAGUGAAGAAGGCCUUCGGGUUGUAAACCACUUUUGUCAGGGAAGAAACGGCCUGAUCUAAUACAUUGGGUUAAUGACGGUACCUGAAGAAUAAGCACCGGCUAACUACGUGCCAGCAGCCGCGGUAAUACGUAGGGUGCGAGCGUUAAUCGGAAUUACUGGGCGUAAAGCGUGCGCAGGCGGCUUUGCAAGACAGAUGUGAAAUCCCCGGGCUCAACCUGGGAACUGCAUUUGUGACUGCAAGGCUAGAGUACGGUAGAGGGGGAUGGAAUUCCGCGUGUAGCAGUGAAAUGCGUAGAUAUGCGGAGGAACACCGAUGGCGAAGGCAAUCCCCUGGACCUGUACUGACGCUCAUGCACGAAAGCGUGGGGAGCAAACAGGAUUAGAUACCCAAGUAGUCCCUGAGCGGGCUGGCAAGGCGCAU
rnacentral:rRNA from 1 species